rnacentral:rRNA from 1 species
CCUACGGGAGGCUGCAGUGGGGGAUAUUGGACAAUGGGGGAAACCCUGAUCCAGCGACGCCGCGUGAGUGAAGAAGUAUUUCGGUAUGUAAAGCUCUGUCAGCAGGGACGAAAGAAAUGACGGUACCUGACCAAGCAGCCGCGGAUAACUACGUGCCAGCAGCCGCGGUAAUACGUAGGGGGCCAGCGUUAUCCGGAAUUACUGGGUGUAAAGGUAGCGUAGAGGGGUAAGUAAGUCUGAAGUGAAAAUCCGGGGCUCAACCCCGGGGCUGUUUUGGACACUAUUUAACUUGAGUGCAGGAGAGGUAAGCGGAAUUCCUAGUGUAGCGGUGAAAUGCGUAGAUAUUAGGAGGAACACCAGUGGCGAAGGCGGCUUACUGGACUGUAACUGACGUUGAGGCUCGAAAGCGUGGGGAGCAAACAGGAUUAGAUACCCCUGUAGUC